AAAGAGACAAUUGAAAUAUGAAAAGAGACAUUCUCACUGUUGGCACUCAAAAUACUUUCCUCAUCUCUUCUUCUUGUAGCUGUCCCCACUUGCAAGUUGUGGAGAUUACGUUCCCACCUUGGCCCUCCCAAUGUUAACAUCGUGGCUCCGCCGGUACUCUUUUCUCUUGACUCACGCAAGGCACCAGUCUGCCUAAAGUCUCUAUGACGUAGUCUUCCAUUUGUGGCCAGAAGCACUAUGAAAUUGGCAUCGAUGAGCUAAGACUCUCGUGUACUAGCGAGGUCUCAUGGGAGGUAGGGGCUCUAAGAUUCUUUGAUUUUCAAUAUGGCUAAGGAUAUAAGCAUAUGAAGCAGCAAGAGUCUAAGUCUCAAAUCUGUUGUAAGGUGCUCUCUCCACUUGUCCUUUAUGUUGUUGGCGUUGACUAUUAUCUCUACCAGUCAUUUGAUGCAGGGGGAAUUGUUAGAAGCGGAGAAACGUUACCCCCACCACCCCCCCCCCCCCCAAAGUUUAUGUUAGAGUGAAGGUUUCUCCUUUGAUGUUCAUGUAGAGAGGGCAACCCUUGCGCGGGCUAUUAAAUCUAUAGGGGGAGGAGGGUUGGAAAAAGCUCUAGAUGGCUAUACAUUUACCCCUUGAAGCCUUUUUUUGUAAAGGGUGAAAAGUCUGUCUGGUUGAUCAUUUAUCAAUGUAUACUUGAGGUGUUCAUGAUCUACACCUACAAUGAACGCCUAAAUGGCCCAUUCAUCUGCUAGACCUUUAACCCUCAUUGUUGUUGCGCUAAAUCUACGAAUAAAUCCCUUAGAUGUUUACCA